AUGGAACCUAGCUAUUCUUGUAAAGAGAUUACAACAUUGGUUCUUGGGCAUGUUAGAUCAGGGUGGAAGGACAUAGUGGACACUGAAUCUUAUAGGAGGUUUAAUGAUAACAGGGGUGAGCUGACGCUCGCCAAAAAGGGAUGUUUCCAAGAACUGGGUUGGAGCAUACAUAGGCCGUUUGAUGAGAGUGUUAUUCUCUGGCACCUGGCCACAGAUUUAUGCUUUCACCAUACCAACUCUCCUUAUGAUCAUCCGUGUGCCCAUCAGUGCAAAAUAAUGUCCAACUACAUGAUGCAUCUGUUGUUUGCUAAUCCUGAGAUGCUAAUGCCAGGCAGUAGAAAGAGUUUGUUCACAAGGGCCUAUGAAGAACUCGAGAUGACCCACGAAUCCUUUGCAGAGCGACUCUUGGAUGAGAGGGAAUUUACAUGUGAAAUAUUUGGGAGAUGUAAAGCACGUAUUUUCCCCAACUCUCUUAUUCGCGACGCUUCGGAGCUUGCUAAACAAUUGUUGGAUUCUUUUCCUUGUGAUCAUAAGGAGAUGUGGGAGAUGAUCCAGGGCGUGUGA
rnacentral:rRNA from 1 species